AAAGUCGUAACAAGGUAACCGUAGGUGAACCUGCGGUUGGAUCAUUAACAAUCAAAAAGAGUCUUUUAAGUAGGCUCGCACUGGAUUUAUCCAGUUUCAACCCCUGUGAAAUGGAUCGUCAAGUGUGUGGGGCUUUUUUUGUCCCCGCACCACUAUCAAAAAAAUCUUUUAAAACAUCACUGAAUCAGAGACAAUGAGAAACAACUUUUGACAACGGAUCUCUUGGCUCUC
rnacentral:misc_RNA from 1 species